GUUUACGGUGGAGCAUCAUCAACAAGGAGCACUACCGCCACCUACUGUUAGGAGGAAGCAGUGUAUUAAAGAGUGAUGGAGCAGUGAUUCAUUUCUGUAGACUACCUCCAUCAAAGUGGGAGAGGAGUCCUGUCUCUCUUCUUGAACUUUCUAUGGGGCAGAUGGUUUACUAGUAUGGAAACAUGUUUGCAGCUGGCUACACGAUGGACGCGUGGGAGAAGUGGCGAGUCGUGUGCCUGGUGGCUCUUUCCGUGGAGGACAUUGAGGAUGUCUACCUAUUCGGAACCAUGAUUACAGAGUGCCUCUCAUUACGAACCUGGGAGAAGAAACACCUGGAGCUAUCCUCAUAGCUGCUGAUCUUUUCUUGCCCCACCUGGCUUCUCUGGGAGAAUGCUGCCAAAGAGAGGAGGACAUCUUCACCCUAAAUAAAGGGUCCCAAAGACCACUGUCAGUCUCACUGCAGGCCUGAGGCUCUAGCUACCACAUUUUGUGCCUGCAAAAUUGAAAAUGACACACAGAAGCUGUCAAUAUGAGGCCAUGACUGUCAAAUAAACACAAUAAUUAAUAAACAAGCAUCAGUUUAAUGCAGUCGUGUGUCUGAAGGGGAUGUUGUCAGCAAGUGAGAGUGACCUGAGUCGUUAUAUUCACUCUUAAAUAUAAAGCUCCGUAAAGAACCAUCUUCUCCUUAUUCAUUACAAUUAAACAGGCUGUUUUUGUUAUUCUGCCUUUAAUAUAUAAUUUUGGACAAAAUAAUGUACAGAUAUCUGUAAAUUAAUUCUAAUUACUAUACUAGUAAUAUUAGUAUGAUUGGCUGCCCUCUAUUGUGCACAUUCAAAAAGCAAUCUGGGCUGAAAUACCCCUUAUAUCAUGAAUGGGCAAGGCUAAACUUCUAUAGGCCAAAUAGGGGAAUACUUUUAAAUAUGUUGGUUUUUGUGACAUCUGAAAUGGUGAAUUCAAAACUGGCUAUUUUUGAAGCUUAGUUUCCAUGUAUGGACUGUAUGGACUCUCCCUCUGGUCACUUGGGUCAUACCCUCAAGGGUAUGUCUUCAGGACCUUUAGUUAGGGAACAUGAUUGUGCCAAAAUCUAUUACAGUUAUACUUGAAGUUGAAGUUGUAUUGACUCCACACACCCUGUCUUGUCUCAAGCCUUUUUAUUUGAAUGAUCUGUUUUAAAACAUUAAUUGUACCUUUCCUUUAAAAAACCUAUUAAAUAUGCACAG